rnacentral:rRNA from 1 species
GACGAACGCUGGCGGCGUGCUUAACACAUGCAAGUCGAACGGAAAGGCCCUGCUUUUGUGGGGUGCUCGAGUGGCGAACGGGUGAGUAACACGUGAGUAACCUGCCCUUGACUUUGGGAUAACUUCAGGAAACUGGGGCUAAUACCGGAUAGGAUCUCCUGCUGCAUGGUGGGGGUUGGAAAGUUUCGGCGGUUGGGGAUGGACUCGCGGCUUAGCAGCUUGUUGGUGGGGUAGUGGCUUACCAAGGCUUUGACGGCUAGCCGGCCUGGGAGGGUGACAGGCCACAGUGGGCCAGGGAGAGGGCCCGGAGGGAUACGGGAGGCAGGGGUGGGGAAUAUUGCAAAAAGGGCGGAGGGCGGAAGGAGCAACGCCGGGUGGGGAAUGACGGUCUUCGGGUAGGAAAACGAUUUCGACUGUGACGAAGCGUGAGUGAGGGUAAUGAGUAAAGAGGCACCGCUAAAUUACUG